rnacentral:rRNA from 1 species
GAUGAACGCUGGCGGUGUGCCUAAGGCAUGCAAGUCGAACGAUAUGUAUCUCUGCUUGCAGAGAUACACUUAGUGGCAGACGGGUGAGUAACACGUAGGAAUCUACCCAGUAGUGGGGAAUAGCCUCGGGAAACCGAGGGUAAUACCGCAUACUCUCUACGGAGAAAAGGUCUUCGGAUCGCUAUUGGAGGAGCCUGCGCGCUAUCAGCUAGUUGGUACGGUAACGGCGUACCAAGGCUAUGACGGCUAGCCGAUGUGAGAGCAUGAUCGGCCACAAGGUUACUGAGACACGGAGCCUACACCUACGGGUGGCAGCAACCGGGAAUUUUGCGCAAUGGGCGAAAGCCUGACGCAGCGACACCGCGUGUGGGAAGACGCUCUUCGGAGUGUAAACCACUGUGGCAGGGGACGAAAUUUUGACGGUACCCUGCUAGAAAGCACCUGCUAACCACGUGCCAGAAGCCUCGGUAAUACGUGGGGUGCAAGCGUUAUCCGGAAUCACUGGGCGUAAAGCGUCCGUCGGCGGUUUGGUAAGUUGACUGUUUAAGCCUAGGGCUCAACUCUAGAUCGGCAGUCAAAACUACCUAACUUGAAUUAGUUCGGGGUAGCCGGAAUUCUUGGUGGAGGGGUGAAAUCCGUAGAUAUCAAGAGGAACGCCAGUCGCGAAGGCGAGCUACUAGAACUUAAUUGACGCUCAGGGACGAAAGCUUGGGUAGCAAAGCGGAUUAGAGACCCGUGUAGUCCAAGCCGUAAAUGCUGGAUGCUAGCUUCCUGUACUUUUAGUAUGGGGGGCGUAAGUUAACGCGUUAAGCAUCCCGCCUGGGGAGUACGGCCGCAAGGCUAAAACUCAAAGGAAUUGACGGGGGAGCGCACAACCGGUGGAGCAUGUGGUUUAAUUCGAUACAAAGCGAAAAACCUUACCUGGGUUUGACAUCUAGCUGCAUGCUUUACGAAAGUAAAGCAGCCUUCGAGGGUGCUAGACAGGUGAUGCAUGGCUGUCGUCAGCUCGUGUCGUGAGACGUCCGCUUAAGUGCGGUAACGAGCGCAACCCUUGUCCUGUGUUAUACAUGUCACAGGAGACUGCCCUUGUAUCUCAAGGGAGGAAGGAGAGGACGACGUCAAGUCAGCAUGUCCCUUACAUCCAGGGCUACACACAUCCUACAAUGGGAUCGACAAUGAGUAGCGAAGGAGUGAUCCUAAGCCAAUCUCGCAAACGAUCUCUCAGUUCGGAUUGGAGGCUGCAAUUCGCCUCCAUGAAGCCGGAAUCGGUAGUAAUCGCAAAUCAGCAGGUUGCGGUGAAUACGUUCUCGCUCCUUGUACACACUGCCCGUCAAGCCAGCAAAGUCGGCAACACCCGAAGCGGGUGACUCCAACCCUCACGGGGGGAGCCCCACUACG